UUAACUGUAAUUAAUGGAGGCUGCAGCAGAAGGAACUUGGUGAAGAUGUUCUAAUGAAUGUUUUCAGAGAGGAGAACAAAACUCUGCCAUAAGUUUCUACAAGGAGCAUUUAAUAAAGAGAUAAAAAAUGCAUUAUGAGUAUAAGUUAAUUCAGUUACAGAUUGUUGCAUUGAAACAUCAGCUUUAAAGAUUUACUGCAUUUACUUUUGUAAUAAACAGUAUAACAUUAAAGUGAUGAAUAAAUCUGCUUUGACUAGAUCAUGAUAAUUAACAUCAUAUCAGAAAGGUUAUUUAAUUGUUUAUUUACCAGCUUUACUAACUUAUUAUUAGAUUCUUUUAAUUAACUGGUUGUCGAGCUGUUGUUUAUGAACAUUUAUAGAUUUAUCUUUCUGAUUAUUUGAGCUGUACUUGUGAACAAUAAAUACUACAUCAUACAUCAUGUUACAGCAAUGAUUACAGGUACAGUGUGCCGCCAGGUGGCGGUAGUGAGACAAAGGCAUUCGGCUUCGCGUUGAAUCAUCCGGGUUGCCAGAUUUGAAUUUAUAUCGUGGACGUGAAACUAAUUAAAAAAAUAUUUCAGUUUAAAUGCUGCCAAUAAAUAAUAAAUUACCUAAAAGACAGGAUUUACUAGAGAAGAAAACAACAAAAACCGAAGAAUUAUAUAACUGAACUAAUUUGGAAAUUAAAGUACGUCCUAGAGAUUAAAGAAUCUUUACGAAUCAUUUGUAAUUUUUGCUUCUUGUGAGUCGUUUAUUCUCAGUGAAGCUGUUUAAUGUAAAAAUAGAGGGAUUAGUGGGAGAAUCAUUCGUAUGGAUCCGGAUCAAUCUGGCAACCCAGACUGGCAGCAGCCUUUUUGAGCCUCUUGAGUUUCAUUCAUUCGUUCGGAGGAGACGGACGCCGGAGCGGCACGAGACCCUGACAGUCCAAGACGCUUCUGCACUGAAGGAGCUCAUCCUCAUCCUCAUCCUCCCAGCGCCGUGAGGAAGAUGCGCCUCUGACACACCGGCCCAUGAUUUGACCACCAAAGAGAAUGUUAUCCUCAGUCCACCGGUAGAAGGAGAACAGGACCACAGCUUCAGUCUUUGUGAAACUGACCUGAUGUCUGUGAGAAUGGAGGAACAUGACGAUGCUGGACUUAACUCUCCUAUGACGAAACUUCUGUUUCUGAUUUGUUUUUCUUACUUCUUCUUGUCUGUCUGUUCUUGUGAGAACCUUAAUGUCUUCCAGUCUGAGAGACCUGAAUGGAGUCUGAGUCACCUGGCUGUCCACCAGGCGAGUGGUGCGGUGUACGUGGGUGGAGUCAACCGCGUGUACAAGCUCUCGCCCGAUCUGUCGCCACUGAUCACGCACAACACUGGGCCGGAGCUGGACAACCAGGCCUGUUAUCCUCCUCUGAUCAUGCAGCCGUGCUCUGAACCUCUCGCCAGAACCGACAACGUCAACAAGCUCCUGCUUGUCGACGACCUGCACAACCGCCUACUGGCAUGCGGGAGCCUCUACCAGGGCGUGUGCAAGAUCCUGAGACUGGAUGAUCUGUUCAUCUUGGCCGAACCUUCUCACAAAAAGGAGCACUACUUCUCCAGCUUGAACCAGACCGGCGGCAUGAGCGGCGUGAUCGUCAGCCGAGAUCGAGGCCGAGACCGCGAGAGAGACGCCACUCUGUACAUCGGCACGUCUGUCGGAGGCAAACAGGACUAUUUCCCGACAAUCUCGAGCCGGAAGCUGCCCAAAGACCCAGAAUCGGCAGCCAUGUUGGACUACGAGCUUCACACUGACUUUGUUUCAUCACUGGUCAAGAUUCCGUCCGAUACGUUAGCUCUGGUUACACACUUCGACAUUGACUACGUGUAUGGUUUCUCCAGCGGCAGCUUUGUGUACUUCCUGACGGUGCAGCCGGAGACAGAGACCCCUGGAGAGCUCUUUUAUACCUCGCGUGUGGUUCGACUCUGCAAAGGUGACGAUAAGUUCCAUUCGUACGUCUCCCUGCCGGUGGGCUGUGUGAAGAACAGAGUAGAGUAUCGUCUGCUGCAGGCAGCAUUUCUGGCUAAAGCCGGGAGCGUCAUGGCUGCCGCCCUGAACGUCACCGAACGAGACGAUGUGCUCUUCGCUGUCUUCUCCAAAGGACAGAAACAGUACCAGAGACCAUCAGAUGACUCGACGCUCUGCAUUUUCACCAUCCGGGAUAUUAAUGCACGGAUUAAAGAGAGGCUGAGGUCAUGCUAUCAGGGGGAAGGAAACCUGGAGCUGCACUGGCUUCUGGGAAAAGACGUUCAGUGCACAAAAGCGCCGGUGCCUAUAGGAGAUGUUUUCUGUGGUUUGGACAUUAAUCAGCCUCUCGGUGGUUCAGAGCUUGUUUCAGGUUUCCCUGUUUACACUGAGACAUUAGAGCGUCUUACUGCCGUGUCUGCGUACGUGUACAACGGCUACAGUGUGGCGUUCCUCGGCACCCGAUCUGGGAACAUCCGUAAGGUGCGUGUAGACGGCGUGUCUGCGCUCCUCUAUGAGACGGUGAAGGUGAUGAAGGAUGGAAGUUCUGUUCUUCCUGACAUGGCCUUUUCUCCAGAUCACCAUCACCUAUACACCAUGAGCCGCACCCAGGUGGUCCAGGUACCAGUGGAACACUGUGAACAGUAUUUGUGGUGUGAGGAGUGUUUGAGCUCAGGAGAUCCACACUGCGGCUGGUGUGUCCUCCACAACAAGUGUGUGAGACGGGACCGCUGCGAGCGCUCAGACGAACCUUUCCGAUUCACUGAUGUGAUUGGGCGAUGUGUAAAAGUCUCUGCCUACCCGGACAACGUGGCGAUGUCGGAACAUGGCGUCCCUCUGCUGCUGGAGGUUAGUAACGUUCCUGACCUUUCUGCUGGGGUCACCUGCUCCUUUGGAAACCUGGCAAAGGUCGAAGGUCAUGUCAGCGGGAACAGCAUCAUGUGUCUGUCUCCGACUGCCCAGGAUGUCCCGCUGAUCCCUGCUGACCGAGACUGGUCAGGUGUGGAGUUAAAGGUUGUUUCUAAGGAGACGGGUCAUAUGUUGGUGAGCACAGAGGUGAAGUUCUACAACUGCAGCACACAUACCAUGUGUUUGUCAUGUGUGAGCAGUGCAUUCCAGUGUCACUGGUGUAAAUACAGAAACACCUGCACACAUGACCCGAACAGCUGCUCCUUCCUCGAGGGACAUGUCAAUGCAUCAGAGUUGUGUCCUCAGCUGGUGAGCUCAGGGGAGGUGGUGAUUGCAGCAGGAGACGUGAAGCCAAUCACGCUGAAGGCCUGGAACCUUCCACAGCCUCAAUCAGGGCAGAGAGGCUACGAGUGUGUGUUCAACAUCCAGGGAGUGACACACAGAGUUACAGCCCUGCGCUUCAACAGCACCAGUGUACAGUGUCAGAACCGCUCGUAUGUGUACGAGGGGAUGAAGGUCAGUGAGCUGGCAGUUGAUCUGUCCAUCGUGUGGAACAACAACUUCAUCAUCGACAAUCCUGAGAGAAUUAAAGUGCACCUGUAUAAGUGUGCUGCUCAAAGGGAAAGCUGUGGUGUGUGUCUGAAGGCCGAGCGAAGGUUCUCUUGUGGUUGGUGUGAGAGUGAGGGUCGCUGUAUGCUGCGUAAACACUGCACGUCACCAGGAGCUUCACUCAGCCCCCCGUGGCUCGGACCGAACGAACACCACAAGUGUGCACACCCCCGCAUCACAGAGGUGUAUCCUCUGUCUGGUCCUCCUCAUGGUGGGACCAUGGUGACGAUCCGUGGUGUGAACCUUGGCAUGUCUCUGUCAGAGCUGCAGGGGCGAGUGGAGGUUGCUGGAGUCCCGUGUCACACCCGAUCUGAGGGUUACAUCACUGCAGAACAGCUGGUAUGUGAGAUGGAUUCAGCACCUCUGGGCAGUUCUCCUGGUCCGGUGCAGCUGUGUGUGUCAGAAUGCAGGCCAGAGCUAAGCACACACUCCUCUCAGCUUUAUACAUUUGUGAGCCCCAGUGUAUCAGCGCUGACCCCGAACCGAGGGCCGGUUUCUGGAGGAACCAAGGUAACCAUACUGGGUCAGAACCUGAGCGCAGGCAGCAGUGUGAAUGUACGCUUCGGAAACAACACCUGUGAAUUCUCCAGUCGGAGUGCCACAGAGAUCGUUUGUGUUUCAGCACCUUCUCUUUACAGCGAGGGCUCGGUUCUGGUUCUGGUCGGAGUUGAUCGUGCCGAGCUUAACACCAAACUGAGCUUCGAGUACAUUGAGGAUCCAACAGUACAGAGCAUAGAACCUGAGUGGAGCAUCACCAGUGGACACACCGCCCUGACGGUGACCGGCACUAAUCUAGAUGUGGUGCAGGAGCCUCGGGUUCGUGUUAAAUACGGCGGGCGUGAGUUUGUGAACGUGUGUGGAGCUGUAAACUCCACCUCAAUCCGCUGCUCUGCUCCGCCUCUGACGGCUGAUUUUGCCCUGGGGCAGGAUUCGGUAAAGCAGGCAGACGAGUUUGGCUUCAUCUUCAACAAUGUGCAUGCUCUGCUCACCUACAACAGCACCACUUUUGUUUAUUACCCCAAUCCCUCAUUUGAACCUCUGAGUGUGUCUGGAGUGCUGCAGCAGAAACCGGGAUCACCCAUCAUUCUCAAAGGCAGGAAUCUGGUUCCAUCAGCACCAGGAGGUUCCAAACUGAACUACACUGUCCUGGUUGGUGAUGUUCCCUGCCUCAUCACUGUCUCUGAGACACAGCUGCUGUGUGAACCACCUCCUCUGACUGGCCAGCACAGAAUCACGGUCCAAGUGGGUGGUCUCCAACUGUCUCCAGGUUCAGUCCACAUCCAGUCAGACAGUCUCCUUACGUUACCUGCCAUCUUCAGCAUUGCAGCAGGGGGAGGCUUGCUCUUCAUCAUCGUCAUCCUCGUACUGAUUGCCUACCGACGCAAGUCACACGAGAACGACCUCACGCUCAAGCGGUUGCAUAUGCAAAUGGACAACUUGGAGUCCAGAGUGGCUCUGGAAUGCAAAGAAGCUUUUGCAGAGCUCCAGACAGACAUAAACGAGCUGACGAGUGAUCUGGACCGGGCUGGGAUCCCACACCUGGAUUACCGCACCUAUAUCAUGAGGAUCCUGUUUCCGGGCAUGGACGACCACCCGGUGCUCCGAGAGCUGGAGGUGGCGGGCUGUGGGCAGCAGCGUGUAGAAAAGGCUCUGAAGCAGCUGGGCCAGCUGGUGAACAAUAAGACGUUUGUGCUGUCAUUUAUCCACACACUGGAGCUGCAGCGCUCGUUCUCCAUGCGUGAUCGUGGCUACGUGGCGUCACUCAUCAUGACUGCAUUACACAACAGACUAGAGUUCAUCACUGACAUCCUCAAACAGCUGCUCUCUGAGCUCAUCACCAAGAGCAUGGAGAGCAAGAACCACCCCAAACUACUGCUGCGCCGGACGGAGUCAGUAGCAGAGAAGAUGCUGACAAAUUGGUUUGCCUUCUUGCUCCACAAGUUCCUGAAGGAGUGUGUGAGUGAGCCGCUCUUCAUGCUAUACUGUGCUAUAAAGCAGCAGAUGGAGAAGGGGCCGAUUGACGCCGUCACAGGAGAGGCUCGUUACUCGCUCAGUGAGGACAAACUCAUCCGCCAACAGAUUGACUACAAAACAUUGACGGUUUGCUGUGUGGAUGGAGAUCAGGAGAAUGGGGGUAUGGAGGUGGUGGUGAAGGUGAUAAACUGUGACACCAUCACACAGGUGAAGGAGAAAAUCCUUGAUGCCAUCUAUAAGAACAUCCCAUACUCUCAGAGGCCACGUGCAGGAGACAUGGAUUUGGAAUGGCGUCAAGGGCGCACAGCACGUGUGGUCCUACAGGACGAGGACAUCACCACUAAAAUCGACAACGACUGGAAACGACUGAACACACUGGUGCACUAUCAGGUAUCUGAUCGUUGUGUGAUGGCUCUGGUACCUAAGCAGAUGUCCUCUUACAACAUCUCAACGUCAGCCAGCUUCCCUCGGAGCUUCAGCCGAUACGAUUCAGUCCUACGCUCUGUGUCAGCGGGCAGUCCAGAGAUCUCGCGCUCCCGAGUGCCAAUGAUUACACCAGACCUGGAGAGCGGAGUUAAAGUUUGGCAUCUGGUCAAAAACCAUGAACAUGGAGACCAAAAAGAAGCUGAACGUGGCAGCAAGAUGGUGUCUGAGAUCUAUCUUACCCGCCUUCUGGCCACCAAGGGCACGUUGCAGAAGUUUGUAGAUGAUCUGUUCGAGACGCUCUUCAGCACGGCCAAUCGUGGCAGUGCGCUCCCGCUCGCCAUCAAAUAUAUGUUCGACUUCCUGGACGAGCAGGCGGACAAACAUGGCAUCCACGACCCCGACGUCCGUCACACAUGGAAGAGUAACUGUCUUCCUCUGCGUUUCUGGGUGAACGUCAUCAAAAACCCCCAGUUUGUGUUCGACAUCCAUAAGAACAACAUUACGGAUGCCUGUUUGUCUGUCGUGGCUCAGACCUUCAUGGACUCGUGCUCAACUAUGGAACAUCGACUCGGCAAAGACUCGCCUUCGAACAAACUCCUCUAUGCUAAAGACAUCCCGCACUAUAAGAGCUGGGUAGAGCGGUACUAUGCCGAUAUAAGCCGUCUACCGUCCAUCAGCGAUCAGGACAUGAAUGCCUAUUUGGCCGAGCAGGCACGUCUUCAUUCACACGAGUUUAACACGCUCAGUGCCUUGCACGAGAUCUAUGCCUACAUCAGGAAGUACAGCCUGGAGAUAGUGCAGUCUCUGAAGCAGGACCCAUUGGCCCAGAAACAAAGACUUGCCUACAAACUGGAGCAGCUCAUUGCGGAUAUGGACCACGAGAGCUGAACUGAAGUGAAAAAACAAACAAACAAACAAACAAAAAAGACAACAACAAAAAGGGCCACAGACUGAUCAACUGAAAGAGAACUGAACUGAGCUACUCAAGUCUACAGAACAGAGAGGAAAAGACCGAUCAAGGUUAUACCGUAAAUAUCACCAUCUGCUGCGUGAAGUGGAAAGCGCCGGUUCUCAAAGGGCACCUUAAGCGAAGGACACGUUAAAAUAUUAUAGCCUACACGUUCGAAUUUCACUUUCAUGUACACGUUUGCUGAUGCAGAGAUUUUGGGUUUACAUUAUGCAUGACAGAAAUAUGCCCGUAUUUAUUCUCACAUAAACAUCUUUAUUAACUUCAGUGUGUGUGACUCGUGUCUGUAACGGAUAUAAGCUCGAGAGCAGAACAAGUUUGUAGAGCCGCCUGAAGUCCAUGACCUUCGACGAGGAUUCAUUUUUAAUUACACCAGUAAAUAAGCUCUGUUUAUAUGGACCAAUGGUUUAGCUAGGGCCAAAGGUCAUGUCUUUUAAAAUACAAUGAAGGCUCGAGUGUAUGUAAGUGUGUGUUGUUUACACAUUAAAAAAGUGAAAAACA